GACAGAGGGUGCGAACGUUGUUCGGAAUUACUGGGCGUAAAGCGCGUGUAGGCGGCAGCGCAAGUCGGGCGUGAAAUCCCACGGCUCAACCGUGGAAGUGCACUCGAAACUGCGCAGCUAGAGUCCUGGAGAGGAAGGUGGAAUGACUUGGUGUAGGAGGUGAAAUUCGUAGAUAUCAAGCGGAACACCGGUGGCGAAGGACGAACCCUUCGUGG
rnacentral:rRNA from 1 species